ACGAUGACGAUGAGCAGCACCAGCAGAGGAACGCCGACACCCACCAGGACCUUCCAGCCGGCAAGUGACAGACUGAAGACCAACAGCGGUAGAACAAAGAAGCAGCAGACUAUGUAGACCGCCGCGAACCAGCGGUUUUGGAAACAUCCCUCACCUGAAGAGCAUUUCCCAGUGUCUCUCCUGGACUCGCCAUGGCUGCUAGAAUGGCGGUUGUGGUUGUGCCGAUAUUUGAACCCAAGGACAACGGGUAUGCCCUCUCUAUGCUGAUGACACCGAUACCUGUUUGGAAAAGAGAAACAUGGUAGUAGGGUUUCUGUCACUUCUUCUUCAUUUUUGUAUGAAUACAAAAAAAUUGAUAUUUUUACAGGAGUGGAUGAAAAAAUGUAAAAAAAAAAAAA